UACUCCUACGGGAGGCAGCAGUGGGGAAUAUUGCGCAAUGGGCGAAAGCCUGACGCAGCGACGCCGCGUGAGGGAUGAAGGUCUUCGGAUUGUAAAGCACUUUCAGAGGGGAAGAAAAAAUCGGGUCUAACACAUCCGGUCUUGACGUAACCCAUAGAAGAAGCACCGGCUAACUCUGUGCCAGCAGCCGCGGUAAU
rnacentral:rRNA from 1 species